AGACUAUUUUUGCUGAACACACCUGUUCCUGGUCAUACCCAACACUGUCUGAUUUCAGAAGCUAAGCAGUGUUGGGCCUGGUUAAUACUUGGCUGAGAGACCAUUAAGAAAUACCAUGGAUCUC
rnacentral:rRNA from 1 species